AGGUUUAAGAUGUUCUUUUGUUUUUAUCCCUAGUCCACGUAAGAAAGUGCAAUAAAGAACGGUGUGAUAGUUUUAUCCAAAGAAUGAAAUAAUAGAUAUUGUGGUCCUACCUCUGAAUACAGAAAUAACAACAGAAAUAUCAUUUAAUAGACGUAGAAAAAUAUUUCGUACAAACGUGAUCGUAACAAGUAGAAACUUACAGGAUGAGAACCAUCUAAAGAACACCUUUCAGGUUAUAUCUUAUGGAAGAAUUCGACAUAAUAUCGUUCUUGUAGGCUCAUCCAAAGAGUAGACAGUUGAUGAUCACGUUGAUCCUUGGUAGCAUCGUCGCGGAUCUAUUAUGACAAAAGGGACACAAGUGCCUUGCCGUUGAACAGCGUUACCAACGACGAAGAUAAAUCGGAAGAAAUGCAAACGACGUUGCUACGUCGCUUGAAUGAAGCUCCAUUACGACGAUUUUCGAGGACACCCUUCGACGUGGACAAGAACGGGCGGAAAAAGGGCGAGCUAGCAACCAGAGAACGGAGUGACAUUGUGCCGGUGAAAGUUGGGUGAAGUGACACUCGAGAUAAAUGUUCCAUCGCCGUUUUAAGGACUAACUGUUUCCUUCUUUUUCCAUCUUUCCUCCCUUCCCUCUACUGUCCAGUGAACAUUUUUAUAAAAUCAUCGAAUGUCUUUUCACGCAAAUUUUCCAUGUGUCGGACAACAGUCGAGCCUACGGUUUACGUCUCUUUCCCUUGAGAAAUUUUAAUCGUCUGGCAAAGUUGCCAAUGUUGUACAGAAGAUGCGUGUCUACCACCUUAAGCGAAUCUUCUUUUAACUAUGAAUUUUUAUUCAUUGCUUUUUACAAGUGUAAAUUGAUCUCGCUACAGUUGAUCAUUUUAGCCAUUGAUCUUCAUCGAUUCAAGAGAUAUUAAUAUAAAAAUAUAAUUGCAAGUCCAAUUAAUAAACAAAUUUGAUGUUACGAAAUUGUCGAAGUUGGCGUCUCUUUGUUAUCGUUCGGUUGUUAUUGUUCGGUUCAUUACUGUAUCAUAUCAAAGUUCGUGGAAGGUCUGUAAAUAAACAACGUGUAAAAAUCAUGCGUGAUAAUACGUACAAAUUUAAGGGGAUGUCCUGAAUUAGAAUGUUGUAAAACAGCGUUUUUUGCGAUUUUUUUUAGAAGGGAAAGAAAGAAAUGAAGUUAUUGAGUUUCGAGUCAAGAAUUACGAGAUGGAUCUUUCCCGCUGAUUGAAGACUGAAGAUGUUAAAAUUAUGAAAAAAAACUAUGUACGAAUUGAAGAAGUGUACGUUAUCCUAUGGCCGACCAUAUGCAACAGUUGUCAAGAAUAUUUGUCAACAAGUUGAAAUUAUAAGGUGGACGUAGCGCAACUUGAAAAUUCGUAGUACGAGAGCAGACGAGCGGAGAUCGUGGAGCCAUAGAACAUGGAUAACCGCAUUAAUGGAAAAAUUCGCGGCAGAAGCGAGAUUUCGGCGAGCUUUGAAAGAGCCUGGGCUCUUAACUCACCGAGAAAUCGGGGAUCAUUAGGCGAACUUAGGUAGACCGGAGACCGAAAAAGGGCGACGGUUUCUCGCAACUGUCCGGUUGACCCAUAUCUUUCGGAAAAACUGAAAAACUGACGGACCGGAGGAAAUACCACGCAGAUGGCGCUGUGCUUGCGCCACGCUACGUACAUAAAUUUCCCUUUUUUUCUUGCCCUUGGCGCUUUUGUUGGCCCGGAGAGACGGUUCUCCUUUUUUCUAUCCUUCACGAGGCACCACGCUCGAAUGCUUUAGACAAAAGGACGCGGACUGCGUUUCACCAACAGACAGAGGGAGAAAAAAGAAGGAAAUGCUGCACUGGGGCAAAUGGACACAGGACAGCCCUCUCUCCACGAAGAAUGAAAUUGCGGUAGCUGUCGUGUCCGUUUACGUUUAACUGCUCGCUUAAAUCUUCACCGUUUCGGAGCGAACUAACUGCAAUCGGACCACUUCACUUUGUUUAGCGUAGAGAUAUCGCCAGCUUCCACGUUGAACGCAAAUUAAUUCUUUUUUUUAAGCUACAAAAUUUGCACCAGCCUGGUGAGUCGUGUUGAGACGAAAGAAAAAGUAUUAUUGGAUUAGCUUGUAGUUUAUUUAGCGAACGUCCAGCUGGACAAAUUGUAAAGUACAAAUUAAAUAACAAUAAUAAAAAAAAGUUUAUAGUUUGCUUCAAUUGGAAUAACGAAUAGGAAGUAGAGAAUUUUAGGGAAUUAGAAAUUUGUAUUUUUAUGUCCGAGCAAGUUUCCAUUAAAUAUUGGUAUGUUACAAAGUUCAAUUACCAAACCUAUGGUGGUUUCGAUGUUCUCACAGUCCUGAUAGAUUGGAUUUUUAUUUCGCGAUAAAAUAGUCGAAAAUUGAUCGACUAAUGGGAUUUUAUUGAAACAUUCUGAUCGGUGAAGUUUGCUGAAAUAUUUUGCUUGGAAAAUAUUAGUCGGAUAUUUAAAAAAAGAUAUGUGUAAUGAUAAUCAUGAAUAUCUAUAGAUACAUAUUCACAAACAGAUGACGAUAGAAUCAUUCUACCGUAUCUGCGCAUUUUUUUUAAUCAUACAUUUGAAUAAAUUUCUCUAAACAAAUGUAAGAACGUACGGUUGCGUAUGGAUCUUUUUAGAAAGUCAGAAACUUUUCCAAUGGCUCGUAAUAUCUCUUUCAAACUUUUACUACCCUUUCUUUGGACCCACCGCCGUCAGCUUGAAUUUUUCAGCAAUUUCCAGUGACCACGAUCCAUGAUGGUUUUAUGGGGGAACGUUUUUUAACUUCAAAACAGUGGUUUUACGAUAUUUUGACGGGAUAUCCGUCGACAAUAAAAGACAAAGAUCAGUAGGACAAACGACGAGAGGAGUGAGAUCAUCGUAUCUUUUCAAAAAAUUCUACCUUUCUUCCCUUUUCUCAAACCAUUGUCCUUCACUCGUAUGCUACUUCGCUAACAAUUAAACCUUUUGCUUUCUCAGUUACAUAAUCUUCUCAUAAUUCACGCAGUUUCAUUAAAACGAUUGUUAUUAAAAAAUAAAGUUAUAAAAGUAUCAAUAAAAUUACCAUACUGCAAAUAAUACUAUUACUAACCAUAAAUAAAAUUAUCAAUUUCAAGUUAUAAAAAAAUAUUAUUUACUCAAGCUUCUUAAAAACUAGUAUACCUCGUUCCAAACGUAUAAAAAUCAUUCAAUGAAUCUACGAUAAGUAUACAAAUUCUCCUAAUUUCGCCUGGUCAAUAAUAUCUUGAAAAGAAGCAUUGGCAGAAAUCGACAAUACACCGAAAUUAUAAUCGAACACGUACAAAUUAAUGUACUUUACGUAUACGAAACGCAAAUAACGUCUCUUUAGUUUCAUACUAAUUUCGUAUAAAAGCUGAUUCUCAAAUUUUUCUCAUUUGCAAUAUUCUUACUUAUUCGCGAUAUUCUGGAAGAUGGUAUCCCGCUAGGGGUAGCCAUCCACAUGUUAUUUAGCAAUAAAGUUAAACAAAUUUACCGAAUGUCCAGCUGGACAGAUUGUAAAAUACAAAUGAAAUAAAAAUUUGCGAUAUUUUUAAUUACUAUAGAAAAUUUCUCGUCGCACAAAAUUCAUCGGAGUUUACAGAAAAGUCAAUAUCGUUAAUAUUACGAUGUAAAUCUCUCCAUCAGAAAAUUCAUCGAAAUCUCCAGGAAACCCAAUAUCGUCAAAAUAUAACGAUAUAAAACUUUCCAUCAAAAUUCAUCGAAGUUUACAGACCAACCAAACGAACUAUUCACGAUUCUAACGAAAAUCGAGGGAACCGAAAGAACCGCUGUAUCACGCAGGGCAAACAAAAUUGGAAUAAGACGAGUCCUCGAAUAUCCGGCCGAAGAUUCUCCAUCGAGACUUUUGUCGUACGACCGUUUGAUUCGGUAAUUUCAUUGGAUGUCACGAGUUCGAACGUUCCAACCGCGUUUACACGAAAGGAUAGUCGCGAGCAGUCGCAGGGAUUUCGUAGUUGGAAAGUGAUUUUCCGGGCAAACGGAGACAGGCCACUGGGUGACUGAAAAUCGUCGCACGCCUCAUCGAAUCUUCUCCUUUUCCUUUUUCGCGUAUAAUGCCAAUGUUUGGACACACGGCCGAAAAGGCUUGGACUUUUCCUUAGGCCGGGGACAAAUAAACAGUCGUUUAUCUCGUUGGACCACGAAUGCGACCAGUCGACCGACUGCUUUCCCCAUUUUUCGCCUGCAUCUCGUCAGAUCGUUUGCCUUUAUCGUUAAUCCAAUCCAUAGAAAUCUCGUCGCGGGAAAAAAGGAACGAUGCUCGUUUCCUAUGGUUUAACUAGAAGUUUGUGGGAAAUUGUAUUCUUGUUCGGAGAUAGAGGAAUUGACGAUGGGAUUGGGCUUUAAUGGGAUGGGAACGAAGGAAUUAUUUUCGUGGUUGAUGAAUUUUCUUUUCUUUUUUUUUUCUGUGGAUGCUGCAAAGGAACAGCAGUUUGAAAGGGUUAGGAAAUUUUGUUGGAAUCUUGAAAGCACGUGUUUAGGUAGUUUCGUUGAAAUCUUUAAGGUACACAGUCGCGGGAUUCUGUAAUUAAGAUAAGAAUAAGAAUUUGGAAAGAUUCGCCUUAUGUAUUAUGCAUUGUAUUGUUCUGUAUUGUUAAUCGAAAUUGAGAUUGAAAUAAAUGCGAGAAAUUCUUCAUUGUC